rnacentral:rRNA from 1 species
CCUACGGGAGGCAGCAGUGAGGAAUAUUGGUCAAUGGCCGGAAGGCUGAACCAGCCAUGCCGCGUGAAGGUCAGUGCUCUAUGGGCGUUAAACUUCUUUUGUGCGGGAGCAAUAAUGGUCACGUGUGGCCAGACGAGAGUACCGUACGAAUAAGCAUCGGCUAACUCCGUUCCAGCAGCCGCGGUAAAACGGGGGAUGCAAGCGUUAUCCGGGUUUAUUGGGUUUAAAGGGUGCGUAGGCUGUGAGGUUAGUCAGCGGGGAAAUGCCCCCGCUCAACGGGGUGAAGUGCCAUUGAUACUGCCUUGCUGGAAUGCGGAUGCCGUGGGAGGAAUGUGUGGUGUAGCGGUGAAAUGCAUAGAUAUCACACAGAACACCGAUUGCGAAGGCAUCUCACGAAUCCGCGAUUGACGCUGAUGCACGAAAGCGUGGGUAUCAAACAGGAUUAGAUACCCGGGUAGUC